CGGACCGGGCCUAAGUUCC
rnacentral:snRNA from 1 species